rnacentral:tRNA from 2 species
GGGCCGGUAGCUCAGCAUGGUCAGAGCACCCGGCUGAUAACCGGGAGGUCGAGAGUUCAAAUCUCUCCCGGCCCA